UCUCUCUCUCACACACACACACACACACACACACACACACUUAUGUAUAUACAUGCUUCUUGUCCUGGGUCCAUAGGCCAAAUGAACAGUGACCCAGAUGUACCUGGUGCCUGAAGAAAUCUCAGUUCUAUAGAAACAGACUGUGAAUGGUCUGGCACUGGCCAUGGCUUGGCAGAUCUGUUUCGAAGGUCAGCAGCCUUGAAUAGUAUCAUUGCUUACCAGUCUGCCCUAGGACCUGUUGUCCUUCCUCCUCCAACUGUCUCAACUGUAUGUGUAGUCACAUGCCAGGCUUUAUUGGAAAUGAAGAGAAAAGGAGUUAGAAAAGGUGAUAGAUAACUCUUGAUAUUCACCCAAAUGCUAGGAAUAUGAAUUUUGGUUGUUAUUUAUGUAGAUGAAUAGAGGAUCUGGGACUCAGAGAGUACAUAUCUCAUUAUAACUAAGUAAAUGGCUGGGGCAGAUUUGAAUUGAAGAAUACUUAACAGCAAGUGUACCAAUCCUUUUUUCCUCAUGAACUGCUGAUCUCUGUAGCCAUGAUCAGGUAAACUUUUCCUGGGGUCUCUGAUCCUUUCUAUUUUAGGGACCGGCACAAAGCAACAUUCAGAAAAGGCUUGUUGAAGGGUGAAUGAACGAGCCAUCACAAGAUUUAAGACAAUGUUGAUACAGUGUCCUAAGGAUAAUGAGUAUGGGAAAAUGUCUUUGAUUCUAAACCCAUGGUUUCUUAGCCACAUGGUUAUGGACAUUAAAGUGUUCCUUAUUAAUAAGUGUACCUUAUUAAGGUACACAUAAAAGAACAUGAUAGGUUUAUAGCCAGUCAUUCUCUAGAGUCCUUGAAAACAAGAUGUCACAGAAGGUGAAGAGACAUGAGAUGCAGCAAAGGAAGACUCAGGACCAUUCAGUCACAUCGUGGGCGUCCAUCCUGUGCAUAUUGAGGUCCUACUUUGUGCCGGUUGCUCUUCUCAGCUCCGGAGGGAUAUACAGGAAGGAGACAGACAGGCCCAUAUGCAGCACCAUAGACUAUAUAGCAUGAAUGUGAACUGCUUCCUGGCCUCAUAGAUGGAGGCUUCCUUCUCCUAGGCUUCUUUUGCCUCUAUACUGUUGCCACCCUCCAGGUUUCAGAGCCAUAUGUAAUUAGGGCAGAUCUGCAGACAAAUAUUUAUGGGAGUGGCCAGAUAUUCAGGUGAAGGUCCAAUGAUACUCCUCCAUCCUGCUCCUGCUAGGAGAUAAUGCCAGUUGCCGACAGGCCUCAUUAUUAUUAUUAUUAUUAAUUAUUCCAUUUGUUUAUAUCUCAAAUGAUAUCCCACUUUCCGGUUACGCCCUCUGUUGGGAACCAAAAAGGAGAGCCCAGGGGAUGCCCUGGGGAAGGGGAGACCCACACCCCGCCAGAGUUUUACCUCUUCUCUGGUCUGUCAGGUGUGGGAGGGCUGCUAUCUACCUUCUACUCAUCCCUGGGUGGGCAUCUAAGCCUCUGACCCACUCUUCGGGGGAGGGGGUGGCAAGGGGCAGCCCUACCUGGAAUUCCCAGAGCUACUUUGCUAAAGCCACCGGGGUUAUGGGAGAGAGGGAUGAGGGAAGAGGUUCCCAACACCUGUGAGAGUGAGUGCAGUGGAUCUUGACAGGAGCACAGGAAGGCCUUCUAACGGGAGAUUAGGAGAGAGCCUGUCCCAUCCUCCAAGCACAAUGGGCCUUGAUGAGCAGAGACAUUCAAUGGCUUUAGAGCUUUAUUAUAAAAAGGCAUGGAGAAAAAGAGAGAAGGUAGAAGAGAGAGGAGGGAGAGAGAGAGAGAAAGUUAGAGAGAAAGAAAGAGGGAGAGAGGAGAGGAGAAGACAGAGAGGAGAGAGGGGGUGAGAGUGAGGGGUAAGAGGAAGGCAAGUAAGAGAGCAAACAGGGUCUGAACAGCCCUUUUUAUGGUCUUUUCUGUUGCUAGGUAACUGGGGAGGAGUUUAGCCUAAAGGUCAGAAGGUUGGGCCAUUGCCUAUGUAACUUCUAGCCAUGCUUUUCUUGUGGGGGUUGUGGGGGGUGGUAACUUAGGCAAGGGCCAGAGUUCCAGGAGCAUAAGGGAACGCCUACCAUGUCAUUUAGGUGAAUUAUCACCCUUCGGGGUUCAGACCUCAGCUUGACUGGAGACCAGCCUGUCUGUGCAUAGCCCAAUUCCCCACACCCCUCCACCACUCCUAUCCCACAUCUGCUCUCCCCCCUCCCUUUUGCCUGUAUGAGAGUUCUCCCUCACCCACCCACACUCUCCCGCCCCACUGCUCCAGCAUCCCCCUACUCUGGGGCAUCAAACCUCCCCAGGACUAAGGACCUCCCCCCUGUUGCUAUCAGUGUAGACUAGCAUGAUGUUCUAGUGGAUGUCAGAUCAUAUUUUUAUGGCUGAUGUGGCUCCAAGUCAGAAAAUUGAUCCUCUGCGAAGGUAUAUCCCUGAAGGUUUGUUGUAUCCCUUUUGGUUAGUGUUGUGAUGUGGGAAUGAGAAGUACUGGUGGAUCAAUAACCAUGUCCCAGCUGCUAGGAUCUGUAUUGAUUUGAUAUAAUCGACAGACCACACCAGGAACAGAACCUACAAUGGAAGUCACUACUUAGUUAAGUUUAGGACCAUCCAUUGCCAGUCUCUGUGAAUUAUUAUCUUAUGCAUCUGCCAAAGCAGAAGUUACAGAGGGCUCUGACUGUGGGCAUCUGCUUUUCACCAAAUAGUUAAUGACAGGGUUGUUUUCUCAGAUUCCCCCAGGGACAGAGUGGCACUUUGUUGUGUUACUUUUGUAGGAAGAGAGGUGUGCUUUCUGUUUGCCCUUUCUGCUGUCUUCCCUCUGAUUAGAGAGCCACUUGGGAAUCUUGAAUCAUUGCUGAGGAUAUCCAUUCCUAAACACACUUAGGAAACAUGAGUCACCAUUGAGAAGGUAUGAGGGCCCACCAUACACAUUAUACUGCUGGUGGUGGUCAAAACUGUGCUCCACGCUUGGCCUCUGUGAUGUGUUGACUGAGAAACAUCUCUAGUAGGCUCAGGGAUUUGAAAAUAUGGUUCAUAGUGAUGGGACUGUUUGGGGGAGGUUUGGGGGGUGAGACCUUGCUGGAGGAAGCAUGUCACUGGAGAUGGGCUUUGAGCCUCAUAGCUCUUUCAACGUGUGCUCCUUUCUUUCCGUUUGUAUUCUAGGGUGUGAGCUCUCAGCUUCCUGAUCUGGGCACCAUGACUACCACUUGCUGCUAUGCCCCCUGAUACAAUGGAUUCAUCCUGUCAGGAAUCAUAAGCCCAAAUAAACUUCUUCUUAUAUAAGUGGCCUUGGUCAUGUUUUUGUCACAGCAACAGAAAAGUUAUAGACACAGCAACCUCCAUUAACCCCUACCUGGCCUUGGGCAGACUUUGGUUUUUAGAACUUCAGAUUAGUUAAAAUCCACUAUUUAGUAUGCCCCCUCCAAAUCAUGUGUUUUCUUUCCCCCAGUACAAACUUACCCUUCUAAGCAUCUGAAACAACGUUACUGCUGUAAUAUAACACUCCACAUAGUUUACAAAUCAAAUGUUCUUAGAGUUCUGAGGUUGGAUCCCCUGGAUCACUGUGACAUCAGGCUGGAUGCCUGGGGAAAGCACACUUCCUGGCCAGUGAGAGGCAUUUUCUUACUGAAUGUUUUCAUUGGGAAAUCCCAAAGAAACGCUCUCGGGCUUCUUUUAUAAGAGUGCUGGUCCUAAAUAGACUCUGGCCUCAUAGUCAGUUGCCAAAAUUCCUGUGCAAGAUACUAUAAAGUAUCAGAGAUAGCUUGCAGUUUUGGAGUCUUGAGCCUAGGGUAAGGCAGCAUGUUAUGUUGGGAAUGCAUGUCAGAGCAAGACCUGUUACUUCAUUACUAGGAAGCUGCAACAAGAAGACUGGGGGUGGGGUAGGGUAGGGGCAGGUUCCCUCUUGCCACUUGCCAUUUAUUUUUCAUGUAUGUUCUUCUAUUUGUGUCUGAGUAAGUUUAUGUGCAUCAUGGAGCCUAUGAAGGAAAAACAGUGCUGGAUUCCCUUGGAGCUUGCGUUAUUGUUAGCUGUGAGCUAACUGAUAUGGUAGGUAGUUAAGAACUGACCCUGGCUUUUCUACAGGAAUAGUAACUGCAGAGCUCUCUUCCAAGUCCCCUAUUCCUUUGUGAUGGCAGGCAUGCCCAUUAACUUUUCUCAAGGUAUCACCUCUCAAAGUCCCUACCUUCUCAGUGCUACUACACUGGGAUAUGCCCCCAUUUUGUGGCUUCGAUAAGGCCUUUCUACUCACCUCUAGUCACACAAGUUAAGUGAGUGCUUUUUGGGUCAUCUGUCUACUUUUGUUUUUUGGGUCUCAAAGUCAGUUACCAUCAGCAAGCUCAUCCUGUGGGUGACAGUCUUAUGACAACUCCAUCAGCUCUGCUGGUUUUUCUGGACAUGGGGCUCACUAUACCUGAUACUAGGAUGGUUUCAUCUGGCCUUCAAAAAUCCUCCUCUGCUGAAGUCUGGGGACAGUUGCAAUUGCCCUUGACUGUCCCUUCAACCUGUUGAGACUCACUAUUAAAAUGCUUUUAUACCUCUCACCUCUGUCUCUCAACACUUGCUAAAGACAAUGACCUUCAGGAGUAUAGUGUGUUAGUGGGGUGCAGUAACCAUGGUGAACGCAAGCAUUCCUUUCAUCUUUGAACCUUUUCUUUUAUAUUACAUCAAAGAGAUGCUGACAUUUCAACCUUGUCUAGGAUUGAUCACUGUUGAGUCUAGAGUCUAGAGCUAUUUGCUAAAUAAAUAGCUCAGUAAACAAUUCAAAACGUUCCCAGCAGCUGGAGCUAGAACACUGGUUUAGCACUGUGGCAUGUACUAACCAGCUAACUCAGACUUUCCCUUCCCCUCUUGCUGCAGUCUCUCAGGGUCCAUGUCUAUACAUCCAUUCCUAAAAUUAAUUACCCAAGUUCGGCUCUCCUACUUGAGUGAAUAAUCCUUACUCUCCAAAGUUAAAGUUUGAAUUGUUCCUCUGAGAGAUGCUGGGAUAAGACUCUACUUAGAGACUUGGAGUUCUGUUAGUUCAAAGUGAUAUUUUGAAAAUGAAAUAUAUGAAAAUACUUCCUACACCUAAUUCCACACACCCCAAUUUUUCUUUAAGAUUUUUAUUGAAUUCAAGGUGAAGAUCAAAAUCUUGAACUUAUUAGCUUUCAGAGUCCAUGCACUGUCCAACAUAUUCCUUGACUUUGUUUCUCUCUCUCUCUCUCUCUCUCUCUCUCUCUCUCUCUCUCUCUCUCUCUCUCUCUCCCUCUCUCUCUCACACACACAAACAAACACACACCCUCAACUUCUUGCAGUUCACUUUUCAAAAAUCAAUAUAACCUUCGCUCCUUCAUCUGAGCUCCCAUCCCUGUCAUCAUGAUCUAGUCCCUCAGCAUCCUGUUUGCCCUCCAUCACCUUGACUUUGAUUUAUAAUCAAACAGGCAGUAUUCUAACUACCCGAUGGAAGAUUUUUCACCUUUGAUAACAAGCAGGCCCCAAGAAAGUAGGCACCAUGUUGUGCUUGCUUGAUGCUGAAAUUCAAGUGCUCAGCACACCCUUGCUUGUUGUGUGUGUACCUGUGUGUGUCAUGUCGGUGCAUAUGCCUAUCGAGGCUUGGGGUGUGGCAUCAGAUGUCUUCCUCAGUAGCUCCUUCGCCUUAUGUUUAGAGACUGGAUCUCCCUCUGAUCCUAGAGCUCACAGAUGGGCUCUGCCUUCCCAGCUCUGCAGUUUCAGAUGCACAAUGCUGUACCUGGCUCUCUCUCUUUUUUUUCUUCACACGGGUGCUUGGUAUCUGAAUGCAGGUUUUCAUGCUUUUGUAGCAGGCACUCUACUAAUGGAACCAUCUUGCCAGCCUAAUAUUGUGGCUAAUUGUGGAAGAUACCCUUAAUGAUUCUAGGGGCCUUCAGAGAUGGCUUCCUGGAAGAGAAAGAUUGACCUGGGAGAUGAUGGAGUUGCUUGUUCUGUGGGUGUUUAAGAGUUAGCUGUCUGGGGGUGGGGGGCGUUGGUCUAGAUCCUAUUCUGAGCAUGAUAUUUGUGCUGGAUAGCUUGUGUCAAGUUAACAUACUUGACACAAGCUAAUGUCAUCUGAGAGAGGGAACGUCAAUUAAGAAAAUACCUCCACAAGAUCAGACUGUAGACAGGCCUGCCUGUAAUGCAUUUUCUUAAUUAGCAAUUGGUGGAGGAGGCCCCAGCCCAUUGUGGAUAUUGCUAUCCCUGGGCUGCUGGUCCUGGGUACUAUAAGAAAGCAGUCUGAACAUGCCGGGAGAAGUAAGCCAUUAAGCAGCACUCCUGCAUGGCCUCUGCAUCAGCUCCUGUGGCCUGAUUCCAACCCUCAAUAAAGGACUAUGAUCUGGAAGUGUAAUUCAAAUAAACCCUUUCCUCCCCAACUUGCCUUUUGUUUCAACAUAGAAACAGCAACCCUAACUAAGUCAAGUCGGUACCAAGUGUGUGAGAUAUUGCUGUGACACACCUGACCAUAUUGUUUUGGGGAGGACUGUGGAAGGACUUUGUAUGUUUUUUUGUUUUUUUUUCUUUUGGAAAAGCCAUUGAGUAUUCAAUGAGUAUUGGUGAGCUGUUCUGUAGGAGUAUGGAAGAGUGUUGGGGCAAUGUAGAAGACUGGUUUGUAGACUUUCAGAGGAAAGUGUAAAGAUUCUAUCAGGGUCGUUUGUUAUAUUGAAUGAAAGAUUCAGUAGUUCUGGUUAGCUGGGGCUGAAGAAUCAGCUGUGAUUAACAAGAUACCAGAACUACUAAAGUGAAACCUUUGCUUUCCUGGGAUACUCCAUGCUGGUUGGUUGAGAAAUUAGCAGGGAUUGCGACGUGAUCAGCAUAUAUCACUGGGGUGAAAUCAUCUAGGAACUAUUUCUUGAGAGCACACAGAAGCUGUGUUCCAGAGGUGGCCAAGGUUGUACCUUGAGCUGGUAGCUGUACUUGGUAGUGUAGAAGUCACCCAAGGUGGUACUUGUUUUGAAAGCUUGAAGGGCUCAUGGAGAACAGCUGAGACUUGGCACUGGGAGAGGCCAUUGGCAAUGGUGCAGCCUCAGUGGCAGUUGAAAGCCAAGGAUGCAAGGAAUUAUGCUGAAAAAUUGAGGCUUGGGAC